rnacentral:lncRNA from 10 species
CAAGCCCAACCUCCCCACUGCACAGGAGAAGCAGAGGGCUGCUUACUGCCCAUCUGAUGAUGAUGGAGGCCCAGGCUCUCCACUUGGACUCUGAUGACACCACUGGAGAGGAAGAAGAGGUGAUGGUGAUGAGGUCUCCAGGAUCUCCAGUGAGUUCAAGAAGAACAGGACAUUUCCAAGGCCUUGCAAAGGGGGUUGCUGUCAUUGGAUUUCUAAGAAAAUUGGCCCAAUUAUAUGUCUGGGCACUUCCCUAGACUGCAGAAGUCAGUAGAAAAGGAGGAGGGGAACAAAGGAAAGAUCAAGAGAAACAGGCAAAGAAGGCCUUAUUGCUUUGUGGUCAUAAAGAGAGAGACAUGUUAGUUGGCUUCACGCUUCUCAUUGGGUAAAGUGGUUGUGCAAUUUGGCUUGAUAUCUACUCAGCUAACAAAAAUAUAUCUAUUGUGUUCUAAGACUGCAAAGCACUCUUUGUGAAAUAUAUGAUACUAUAAUAAGCUGUACUAUUUUGCUGGCAAUAAGCUUCAAAACAAUUUACAAGCAUUUCUUUCUUCGUUCAGAACCACCUAGUAGUGAUGGAGGGAAAAUUACGUAAUUCCUCAAGAACCGUAUUUCAAAUCAAAAGGACUUAUUUAGACAAUGUCAACUUCUGUUUUGUUUAUUUCUUUUUUAAAGCAGCCUACUAUAUGAAAAAAAUCAAAGCUUUGGCAAUGUUUCUUUGAUAACUGAUCUAUCAUAAAAUGGAUAAAAAUAAAAGAAACAGCCAUUUGCAACUGACUGCAAUCAUGAUACAGCUGUUUUCUUUUUACAAGUAAAUAAAUCAAUGAACACAUAGUAGUUAAGGCUAUUGUGGAGCACAGUUCUAAGUGACUCUCCUACAGACAAGUUCAGCAAUUUUUCAACAUAUUUCCAUGGUCCAUUCUUAGCUAAAAAUCUCCACUUUUUUGCUCCUGCAAGCAGUCAUUCAACUAAUGAGUUUUAUGAAGACCUGUCGUUCAUUUGGCCUAUACUAAAGAAGUAAUUUAACAUUGCAUAAACAAAAAGAGGCUUUAACAAACACUAUAGGAAAAGAAAAUUCAUCCACCCAUAAAUUCAGUCCUUUACUCCUUACUAAAUGAAAUCUUCAGAUGAUAUAAUUUCUUUUCCAAUAUAGAGGCUGUUAUUUACUUUUGCGUUUAAAGGCUAGACAUUUUCUGCUUCUACUAUCUUUGAACAUUGCUAUAAUGUUAAAUAUUUGAGGAGUUGCCUCCGAACUUGCUGAUGAUAGGAAAUACUUCAAAGGGAGUCUGUUUCCUUCUAUAAAGGAAAAUA